GUAGUUAGCCGAGACUUAUUCCGGGGUACCGUCCUUCCUCUUCCCCCGAAAACGUGGUUUACAACCCGAAGGCCGUCAUCCCACACGCGGCGUUGCUGCGUCAGGCUUUCGCCCAUUGUCGCAAUAUCCCUUA
rnacentral:rRNA from 1 species